CCGGCCUGAGAGGGCGACCGGCCACACUGGGACUGAGACACGGCCCAGACUCCUACGGGAGGCAGCAGUGGGGAAUAUUGCACAAUGGGCGGAAGCCUGAUGCAGCGACGCCGCGUGAGGGAUGACGGCCUUCGGGUUGUAAACCUCUUUCAGCAGGGACGAAGCGUAAGUGACGGUACCUGCAGAAGAAGCGCCGGCCAACUACGUGCCAGCAGCCGCGGUAAGACGUAGGGCGCGAGCGUUGUCCGGAUUUAUUGGGCGUAAAGAGCUCGUAGGCGGCUUGUCGCGUCGACCGUGAAAACUUGGGGCUCAACCCCAAGCCUGCGGUCGAUACGGGCAGGCUAGAGUUCGGUAGGGGAGACUGGAAUUCCUGGUGUAGCGGUGAAAUGCGCAGAUAUCAGGAGGAACACCGGUGGCGAAGGCGGGUCUCUGGGCCGAUACUGACGCUGAGGAGCGAAAGCGUGGGGAGCGAACAGGAUUAGAUACCCUGGUAGUCCACGCUGUAAACGUUGGGCGCUAGGUGUGGGGGGCCUCUCCGGUUCCCUGUGCCGCAGCUAACGCAUUAAGCGC
rnacentral:rRNA from 1 species